CUCUAUUGGAGGACAGUGGAAAAGAAAAGGAGUUUCCAUAGAGGAGGUGGAAAAGAAAAGGAAUGGUGUUUUAUCAGUUGAAUAAAGGGCUGGGAUUUUUCUUUGAGCGCUGACAGACCUUCUGUGUUUUGAACUGGUUCAUUGGCUUCCAGCCCAACAUUUAUGCUCCAAGGCAAGCUACUGCUUGCAGUCCUUUUGAGGCAGAGGGAGCAUAUUGAAAAUACUGACAUUUUUAGAGAUUAUCACCUGACUUCAGUAAGGUUGUUCUUUGAAAUAUCAUGUUGUCCUUGUUCUUCAGACUCAUUUCAGCUCUGUGUUUGGAAAUCGCAUAGAACAGGUGAGGGGGGUUGUGCACAAGAACCCUGCCCUGGCAAAGGCUUGAUUUCAUGAAAAGGGAUUACCCACAAAAAAGCACAGCUGCCAUCAGCCUGACAAUUCACAAAGGAUCAUCUCCUAGUGCCUCAGAAAAGUGUCUUCCCACCUGUGAUGCGGCUUAUGUUACCUGCAGCUUCUGGACAGAAAAUAAGAUCAAUGAAAGAAAGACUUCAAAGGACUACAUGACUUCUGUGGAGAAAACACAGUCAUGGGGAAAAGUUAUCUGCAGCUUCUCCUUCUCAAAUGUUUCAAAAUUUUUGGAGGAAGAUGCAGACCCUGAGCCAAGGACCAGCUGGAAAAUAGUUUGCACCGUAAUGAAAUAUUCAUGGAUCAUGAUAACAUACAGUUCUCUCUGCUAAUUUUUAUAUUGAAAG
ensembl:lncRNA